rnacentral:lncRNA from 1 species
GUCUCUUUGGCUGCGAUCCGCCUACGAGUAUGUAGUUGUAUGGUGGGGAUGAUAUCUUGGGCCUUAUUUGUGAGUGGCCGAGAUGCGGGAGACACAAGGUGGCUAUGGUGCUGGCCGAAAGCCAUCAACUCUGCAAGAGCGCCGUGAAGGUUAGCGCGACGACCACCAUGUAAAGCCGAUACGGUGUUGGGCGGCGUGACGCAAGUUCGCCACCGCUGGGUCGGAUGGUGAGUGACACCUCUGGGGUUACACUAGAUUUUUGGGCUGUGAAACUCCAUGUAUCUUUGGGACCUGCCGCCUGUGGCAGUCUCCCUUCCUAGCCAUGGAAGAGCAUGUUCUUGUUAUUGGCAAAGCUGUCACCAUUUCAUUGGUACCAGAUUCUGACUUGAGCAAGUGACAUUCUAAGAUUGUAAGAGUCUACACGACGCUAGAAAAAUGGACUUCAGUUUUCUAAACUAGUAUUGAAAUAUUUCUAGGAAACGCCGGGACCCGUUGCUGUUGAACAGUGGAGGAAGUGUUAAGGUACUGUAGUGGUUGAGAUCGUCUCUGGUCAACUUACAGGGAAUCUUCGCUUUUAAUUUUUGAAAAUUGAAUAUUUUAUAUUAAAUAAAAGAUGUUUGGUGUGUAAUAA